rnacentral:misc_RNA from 1 species
UGGAUUCCUAGACGUGAAGAGGUCAAAGCUAAAACCAUCACUGAGAUACAUUCCGAGGCUGAGAAGAAUUUGGGAUUGCGUCCGGGUGCUACCUCAAGUAUUAGAAAUAAUCGCGGUGUUAUUUCUGCAACUCCUGGGACUGCUGGCCCAGGCUUUCCCAUUAACCGACCUGGCACAGGAGGUAUGAUGCCUGGCAUGCCAGGAACUAGGAGGAUGCCUGGCAUGCCUGGAAUUGAUAAUGAUAAUUGGGA